rnacentral:rRNA from 1 species
ACUCCUACGGGAGGCAGGCAGUGGGGGAAUAUUGCACAAGUGGGCGCAAGCCUGAUGCAGCCAUGCCGCGUGUAUGAAGAAGGCCUUCGGGUUGUAAAGUACUUUUCAGCAGUGAGAAGGUGGGUAUGUUAAUAGCAUACUCAUUUGACGUUAGCUGCAGAAGAAGCACCGGCUAACUCCGUGCCAGCAGCCGCGGUAAUACGGAGAGUGCGAGCGUUAAUCGGAAUUACUGGGCGUAAAGCGCAUGCAGGUGGUUUGUUAAGUCAGAUGUGAAAGCCGGGGCUCAACCUCGGAAUUGCAUUUGAAACUGGCAAACUAGAGUACUGUAGAGGGGGGUAGAAUUUCAGGUGUAGCGGUGAAAUGCGUAGAGAUCUGAAGGAAAUACCGGUGGCGAAGGCGGCCCCCCU